GAAGAGUUUGAUCAUGGCUCAGAUUGAACGCUGGCGGCAGGCCUAACACAUGCAAGUCGAGCGGUAACAGAGAUAGCUUGCUAUCUGCUGACGAGCGGCGGACGGGUGCGUAACGCGUAGGAAUUUGCCCGAUAGUGGGGGAUAGCCCGGAGAAAUUCGGAUUAAUACCGCAUAUCUUCUACGGAAGAAAGCAGGGGAUCUUCGGACCUUGCGCUAUCGGAUGAGCCUGCGUCGGAUUAGCUAGUUGGUGGGGUAAAUGCCUACCAAGGCG
rnacentral:rRNA from 1 species